AGUGCUGAAUGUCGAUGAUCUUGUUUUUGCUCAGGACUUGCGUCUGAAAGCUGCGAUGAAGCCACGCCCCUUUCUCACCUGGCCACAGAAACCCUCAGCUCACCUGACCAGGAAGAGUCKGGUCCGUUGACCAAACCACAUCUUCCUCUCACUGCAAUGACAAAAA